UACGUAGGAUGCAAGCGUUGUCCGGAAUUAUUGGGCGUAAAGAGCGCGCAGGCGGUAUGACAAGUCAGAUGUGAAAGAGGCCGGCUUAACCGGCAAGGGUCAUUUGAAACUGUCAGACUAGAGUGCAGCAGAGGAUAGUGGAAUUCCCGGUGUAGUGGUGAAAUGCGCAGAUAUCGGGAGGAACACCAAUGGCGAAGGCAGCUCGCUGGGACGGUACUGACGCUGACAGCGCGAAAGCCAGGGGGAGCAAACGGG
rnacentral:rRNA from 1 species